rnacentral:rRNA from 1 species
GACGAACGCUGGCGGCGUGCUUAACACAUGCAAGUCGAGCGGUAAGGCCCUUUCGGGGGUACACGAGCGGCGAACGGGUGAGUAACACGUGGGUGACCUGCCCUCAGCUCUGGGAUAAGCCUGGGAAACUGGGUCUAAUACCGGAUAUGACUCCAUGACGCACGUUGUGGGGUGGAAAGCCUUGUGCGGCUGAGGAUGGGCCCGCGGCCUAUCAGCUUGUUGGUGGGGUGAUGGCCUACCAAGGCGACGACGGGUAGCCAGCCUGAGAGGCGACC